rnacentral:misc_RNA from 1 species
AAAUGCGAUAAGUAAUGUGAAUUGCAGAAUUCAGUGAAUCAUCGAAUCUUUGAACGCACCUUGCGCUCCUUGGUAUUCCUUGGAGCAUGCCUGUUUGAGUAUCAUGAAAUCUUCAAAGUAAAUCUUUUGUUAACUCAAUUGGUUUCUACUUUGGUAUUGGAGGUCUUUGCAGCUUCACACCUGCUCCUCUUUGUUCAUUAGCUGGAUCUCAGUGUUAUGCUUGGUUCCACUCGGCGUGAUAAGUUAUCUAUCGCUGAGGACACUGUAAAAGGUGGCCAAGGUAAAUACAGAUGAACCGCUUCUAAUAGUCCAUUGACUUGGACAAUACUUUUAUGAUCUGAUCUCAAAUCAGGUAGGACUACCCGCUGAACUUAAGC